CGAAAUUCAGUUUUUGCGGGAAUGAGGGAAUGCAAGGGUGGAGGGUGCAAUCACUAAAACCUCGAGGUUUGUUACGUUUGUAUUUUGUAUGCUUAGGCAAGUUCUUAGGAGUAAUUUGUAUUCUUGGGACUAAUUUUUAGUGGGGCAGAGGGAGUGACAGAAUCAAGCAUAGCUACGGGUAACCUCAUUUCCUGUCGGAAAUCGGCGAUGGCGACCGCCGGAAAACCCCGCUCCGCCGCCUCCACUGCCACCUCAGAUCGGUCUCCGGAAGUUAAGUCGUUCGAUUUCUCCCAAGGAUCUCCUGUAAGAGCCGCUCUCUCAAAUGAUCAAAUCCGGUACUGCUCUGAAGCUCUCGAUUUUUUCAAGGAAAAGAGAAUCAACCAGCAUCCGAAACUCUACCUGGAGUUCCAGAAUUUGCAGGUUAUUCAAUUUGAUAUUUUAAAUUUAUAUUUAUUUCGCGAUUGAGAAUGGCGGAGUCGUAUGAGUAGUUAAGUUUUGAUUAGCAGGAUCGCUGGUGAUCAAUGUGAGUUACUUUGCGAGGGUGAGUAUCAAGUAGACAAGAAGGAUUUGGUAUAAAAAAUAGAGUUUGGAUACAUGAUAAUAUAUGAUGUAAUAUAAAAUGUGGUAAUUUGGGGGAAAACAUUGUACUGAUUAUGUAGUUAAAAUUUGUUGAGGUGUUGCCCAAAUAGCAGUGUGAUUAUUCAGAAAGUAAAUAAUUAUACAUUGAAUGCACAAGUCUUUGUUUUUGUUAACGCCAGGAUCUUCUGUCACGUCCCAAUCACAUAAGACGUCCUGAUCCUACACAGUAAACACGAUAAACACCACAAGCUUGACAGCCGGACCGCCGGGGAUAGCUCAGGCGUGAGAGUAAGUAUAUGUGUUCACAAGGUUAACAAGAGAGGAUAAUAAUGUCUAGUGUAAUGAGA
rnacentral:lncRNA from 1 species